CCUACGGGGUGCUGCAGUGAGGAAUAUUGGUCAAUGGGCGAGAGUCUGAACCAGCCAAGUAGCGUGAAGGAUGACUGCCCUAUGGGUUGUAAACUUCUUUUAUAUGGGAAUAAAAUGUUCCACGUGUGGGAUUUUGUAUGUACCAUAUGAAUAAGGAUCGGCUAACUCCGUGCCAGCAGCCGCGGUAAUACGGAGGAUCCGAGCGUUAUCCGGAUUUAUUGGGUUUAAAGGGAGCGUAGGUGGAUUUUUAAGUCAGUGGUGAAAGUUUGCGGCUCAACCGUAAAAUUGCAGUUGAAACUGGCAGUCUUGAGUACAGUAGAGGUGGGCGGAAUGCGUGGUGUAGCGGUGAAAUGCUUAGAUAGCACGAAGAACUCCGAUUGCGAAGGCAGUUCACUGGACUGCAACUGACACUGAGGCUCGAAAGUGUGGGUAUCAAACAGGAUUAGAUACCCGUGUAGUC
rnacentral:rRNA from 1 species